rnacentral:sRNA from 1 species
UUGGUGAACCCUAUAACUUGCUCACUUCUCCUGUCAUAUACAAGAUCCGACUUGACCUUCAUUUCAUCAUGUAGGAGACACACAUACUUCUUCUCUGAUGGCAAGUCCUUGGCAACUUUUUUUAAUUCCUUUAUCCAAAUAGUUUAUUGAAAGAUCAAUCUAAAUUACACUGAACAUCUUUUCUAGGCCAUUUAGAAAUAUUUAUUUUACUAAAACAAAAACAUUUUAUGUAAGCCAGUACAUCAUAUUAAUCUGAGAAUGAUAUUCACCUGAAAAGCCUCAGCCUGAAAACCAGAUUUAGGCUGGAUGAAAUUAGUGUAGUCACGAAGAGUAGCUUGAUUUGGUAGUCGAAGGACUCCACUUUCUCUCAAUGACUCAUAUGCUCUGGGACUUUGGCAACGGAGAUAAAUGGCAAAACGGAUCAUCAUCGGAUGCCAUCUCAUUCCUAAUAAUGAUUAACGAAAAGGUCCAUGAGAGCGUUGCCAGAUUUACAACUUUGAAGAGUUGCAAAAAGGCCCUCUCCAACAUCAUCAGCAACGGAAGCUGUCUCACCUUUAAAACAUUAUUUUACCUCUACUCAAAGAUUCUACAAGACUCUGAAGCUUUCUGUUCUCUUCUCGGAUGACUUUGAAAUGUUUGAUGAGAGUUGUUUGUGGGACAUGUUUCAAAGGGGUUUUAGGAUGAAGCAUAUUGGGAGAAGCAUUUUCCUGUGCAUUCAGUGAGGAUUCAAGCUUAGAACAAGGACCACAUAAUGCGUUGCCCUGAACUCCUCCUAAGCAACCAUUGGCACGAAUCACACUUUUGUUGGAUGGUUUUCCAUUAAUGACGUGGGUGGAAAAAAAGCGGUAUCCCUGCGAACUUUUGAUAGUGACAUCUGGGCUGUCUUUAAUCCCAGCGCAUUUAGUUAUUUUGUCUACAGCCUCCAAAAAUAUGUUGACACGCAUUUUCUCCACUGAGUUCUCGAAUCCUUGGACCACCACCUCUGUUUUUGGAAAAAAUUGUUAACUUGAAACCAGUCCUUGGCUGCGUUUAACUAAAGGAUUGCAACUUAUGGCCACAUUAAUGAAUGCUUAUUAAUCAGGAACUAAUAAUUUUUUUACAAAGUAUGAUUUUUAUGGAAAUCAAAAUAAUUGUAAAUAUAAGGCCAUCCUUAAAAAAAUGUUUGUUUGGAAUUGCCACCUGGAAGUUUCUAGAUAGAAGAAUGGAGGAAUAGAAAAAUAGAUUAAUUUUCUAAAUCUAAAGUUUAACUAAUUAAAAAUCGAUAAAAAAAAUAAAAAUCUCCAUAUACAUGUAUUAAAAAUAAAAUCUUUAUUUUUUGGUAGUAAAUUUAUCAGUAAAGGGGCAUUUGAAUGAGAUGGGAGGCAAAUCCAACAAACAAUUUUUUGGGGGCCUUUAAUUGUUUUUCAUAAUUUUUUUUUUAAAGAUAUUUCAUCAGACUGAAAAUAUCUAUGACUUUGUCGUAAGUUCUUUUGUAAAACCCAGUGGUGUUAUUUACAAUAAAUACAUGUACUGU